rnacentral:rRNA from 1 species
GAUGAACGCUGGCGGCGUGCCUAACACAUGCAAGUCGAGCGAUUCUCUUCGGAGAAGAGCGGCGGACGGGUGAGUAACGCGUGGGUAACCUGCCUCAUACACAUGGAUAACAUACCGAAAGGUAUGCUAAUACAGGAUAACAUAAGAGAUUCGCAUGUUUCUCUUAUCAAAGCUCCGGCGGUAUGAGAUGGACCCGCGUCUGAUUAGCUAGUUGGUAAGGUAAUGGCUUACCAAGGCAACGAUCAGUAGCCGACCUGAGAGGGUGAUCGGCCACAUUGGAACUGAGACACGGUCCAAACUCCUACGGGAGGCAGCAGUGGGGAAUAUUGCACAAUGGGCGAAAGCCUGAUGCAGCAACGCCGCGUGAGUGAUGAAGGCCUUCGGGUCGUAAAACUCUGUCCUCAAGGAAG